AUGAACCAGGUUGUUCAGCCCUUAAUGAGCAGACACUCUGCGUGUAGAGGCAGCCAGGCCCACCUCUCAUGGGUCGAUAAGGGAGACCUGGUGGCCCUGAGCCUCCCCGCCGGCCAUGGUGACACUGACGGCCCCAUCAGCCUGGACGUGCCCGAUGGGGCACCGGACCCCCAGCGGACCAAGGCCGCCAUUGACCACCUGCACCAGAAGAUCCUGAAGAUCACCGAGCAGAUCAAGAUCGAGCAGGAGGCUCGCGACGACAAUGUGGCGGAGUACCUGAAACUGGCCAACAACGCGGACAAGCAGCAGGUGUCACGCAUCAAGCAAGUGUUCGAGAAGAAGAACCAGAAGUCAGCCCAGACCAUCGCCCAGCUGCACAAGAAGCUGGAGCACUACCGCCGGCGCCUGAAGGAGAUUGAGCAGAACGGGCCCUCGCGGCAGCCCAAGGACGUGCUGCGGGACAUGCAGCAGGGGCUGAAGGACGUGGGCGCCAACGUGCGCGCAGGCAUCAGCGGCUUUGGGGGCGGCGUGGUGGAGGGCGUCAAGGGCAGCCUCUCUGGCCUCUCACAGGCCACCCACACCGCCGUGGUGUCCAAGCCCCGGGAGUUUGCCAGCCUCAUCCGCAACAAGUUUGGCAGUGCUGACAACAUCGCCCACCUGAAGGACCCCCUGGAAGAUGGGCCCCCUGAGGAGGCAGCCCGGGCACUGAGCGGCAGUGCCACACUCGUCUCCAGCCCCAAGUAUGGCAGCGAUGAUGAGUGCUCCAGCGCCAGCGCCAGCUCAGCCGGGGCAGGCAGCAACUCCGGGGCUGGGCCUGGUGGGGCCCUGGGGAGCCCUAAGUGCAAUGCACUGUAUGGUGCUCCUGGAAACCUGGAUGCUCUGCUGGAAGAGCUACGGGAGAUCAAGGAGGGACAGUCUCACCUGGAGGACUCCAUGGAAGACCUGAAGACUCAGCUGCAGAGGGACUACACCUACAUGACCCAGUGCCUGCAGGAGGAGCGCUACAGGUAUGAGCGGCUGGAGGAGCAGCUCAACGACCUGACUGAGCUUCAUCAGAACGAGAUGACGAACCUGAAGCAGGAGCUGGCCAGCAUGGAGGAGAAGGUGGCCUACCAGUCCUAUGAGAGGGCACGGGACAUCCAGGAGGCCGUGGAGUCCUGCCUGACCCGGGUCACCAAGCUGGAGCUGCAGCAGCAACAGCAGCAAGUGGUACAGCUGGAGGGCGUGGAGAAUGCCAACGCGCGGGCGCUGCUGGGCAAGUUCAUCAACGUGAUCCUGGCGCUCAUGGCCGUGCUGCUGGUGUUCGUGUCCACCAUCGCCAACUUCAUCACGCCCCUCAUGAAGACACGCCUGCGCAUCACCAGCACCGCCCUCCUGGUCCUCGUCCUGUUCCUCCUCUGGAAGCACUGGGACUCCCUCACCUACCUCCUGGAGCACGUGUUGCUGCCCAGCUGAGUGGCCAGCCACACCAACCCCGUGCUCUCUGGCCCCCAGCUGGCCACACUUCUCCAGGAGGGACCCUUGGACUUCUUUGUGUGUCCAGUUUGGCCUCCUGCCCAAACUGUCCAUUCCAGCAGCUCCUGCCCCCUUCUCUGUACUUGCUUCUGUCUGACACCUUCUCCCUGUUGGCCUGAAGGGAGCUUAGAAUGCAGCCCUACCUGGAGAUAGUGCGGGCACCUGUGGCCAAGUGGAGCAGAGGUGGACAUGGGGUUGGAUUGUUUUGAUUAUUUAUAGUUACACAAGGACUUCUCCCAGCUGACCCUCAGGAUGCCCCAAGUCAGGAAGACCAUUAAGAAUAGGAGGAGAGGGCUCUGCCUCAACUUUCCUAGGAAAGAGCCCACCUCGGAGAUAGCUACGGUUUCCUCUGGUGGAGAUGGUGAGGAUGAAGGCUGGAGAGUGAGGGAGGAGGCUCUGCUGGCCGCAGAGAACACAGGGAUGGGAGGGUCCCUAGCCUUCGGGCACCUCCAGGGCCAGAGAGCAGGCUCAGAGCAGCUAGUGUGGAGCUCAGCACCCCCACCCCACCCCUCCUCCCUGUAGAGCUGAUUUGAGGCCUCCUUCUGGGGCUGGGCUCUGCAGGCCAGGUGGGUGUGGCCUGUGUUUUCCCUUCUGUUCUUUCUGCCUGUACUGGAUCUGUUAUUUUCAGGGAAACAGGCCCCAGGGCCCCCCUGAGCCUCACCCUAAGCCCUUAGGCCUCUGGGAGUGCUGUUGGGUUCUAUUUAUUUAUUUAUUUGUUCCUUUGUUCCCUACCCGUGCCCCCAGUGUCUUCCCUGCUGAGCACCAGGAGAGGUCCUGCCCCAUCCUCUCUCUGAAGCCAGGGCCCUUCCAUUCCAUUUAGCCUUUGGAUCAUCCUGGCUGGGAGAAGUGGGACCGAGCCACCCAGCCCCACUAUCCCCAAGCAGCCCUACAGCCGGGAUGGGAGGCACGUGGCCUCUCUUUUAUCCGUCUAUUUAUUUUGUAAGUGUGUAUUCGUGUGGAGGAGGUUGUUGCUUUAUUUUUUUAAGGCUCUGGAGUGUUGUGUAUGGUUUCUUUUCACAUCCCAGCCUCCCAUGGGCACUUCCAAGAAGAGAGGGGAUUUCUUGGAAAAGGAGAGAGGAAUCCCCUAGAGCAGGGAAAGCAGUGCCUGCCAGCUGUUGUGCACCUUCCUGAGAAAUAAAUAUCCUCUAAAUUUUCAAACCA
rnacentral:sRNA from 1 species